CGAACGCUGGCGGCGUGCUUAACACAUGCAAGUCGACCGGAAAGGCCCCUUUGGGGGUCCUCGAGUGGCGAACGGGUGAGUAACACGUGAGUAACCUGCCCUUGACUUCGGGAUAACUUCAGGAAACUGGGGCUAAUACCGGAUAGGAAUCCUUGCUGCAUGGUGGGGGUUGGAAAGCUUCGGCGGUUUUGGAUGGACUCGCGGCUUAUCAGCUUGUUGGUGGGGUAGUGGCUUACCAAGGCUUUGACGGGUAGCCGGCCUGAGAGGGCGACCGGCCACAUUGGGACUGAGAUACGGCCCAGACUCCUACGGGAGGCAGCAGUGGGGAAUAUUGCACAAUGGGCGGAAGCCUGAUGCAGCAACGCCGCGUGCGGGAUGACGGCCUUCGGGUUGUAAACCGCUUUCAGCAGGGGCGAAGCUUGUGGUGACGGUACCUGCAGAAGAAGCACCGGCUAACUACGUG
rnacentral:rRNA from 1 species